rnacentral:misc_RNA from 1 species
GAUGAAGAACGCAGCGAAAUGCGAUAAGUAGUGUGAAUUGCAGAAUUCAGUGAAUCAUCGAAUCUUUGAACGCACAUUGCGCCCCUUGGUAUUCCAUGGGGCAUGCCUGUUCGAGCGUCAUUUGUACCUUCAAGCUUUGCUUGGUGUUGGGUGUUUGUCUCGCCUCCGCGUGUAGACUCGCCUCAAAACAAUUGGCAGCCGGCGUAUUGAUUUCGGAGCGCAGUACAUCUCGCGCUUUGCACUCACAACGACGACGUCCAAAAGUACAUUUUUACACUCUUGACCUCGGAUCAGGUAGGGAUACCCGCUGAACUUAAGCAUAUCAUAAGCGGAGGA